AAUUCGACUCCGAUUAAGAAUUCAGAGAAACCCAGUACUGGGGAAGUUAAGGAAAAAAAAGGGGUGACGGAAACUAAGGAAGCUGGGGCUACUUCGUUUCCGUUGUCACCGAUAAUGGCAUCGUCAUUGGGAUUGAAUAAAAUUAAGACUCGAUCAGGGCCGUUACCGCAGGAGAGUUUUUUUGGGUAUGGGAGUAGAGAUAAAGGGAAUGCUUUGGGUGCUAGCAAUUUGUCUAAGACAGGUGGCGAUGAGCAGGUGAGCUCUGGCUGGGGAAAGAAGAGUUUAGGGAAGAAGGAUGAGAUGAAGUCAAUAUUGGGGUCGGCUGAGAAUGCUGGUCGGAUAGAUAAUGCUAGCAAUUCAGAUGGUAUGUCUGCUGGGA
rnacentral:misc_RNA from 1 species